rnacentral:rRNA from 1 species
UUUAUGGAGAGUUUGAUCCUGGCUCAGGAUGAACGCUGGCGGCGUGCCUAAUACAUGCAAGUCGAGCGAACAGACGAGGAGCUUGCUCCUCUGACGUUAGCGGCGGACGGGUGAGUAACACGUGGAUAACCUACCUAUAAGACUGGGAUAACUUCGGGAAACCGGAGCUAAUACCGGAUAAUAUAUUGAACCGC